GCCGAGGUGGUGGAACGGAAGACACGUGAGACUCAAAAUCUCAAAUUGCUUAGGCAGUGUGCGGGUUCAAGUCCCGCUCUCGGCA
rnacentral:tRNA from 1 species